GACAGAGGGUGCAAACGUUGUCCGGAAUUAUUGGGCGUAAAGAGCUCGUAGGCGGUCUGUUGCGUCGGCUGUGAAAACCCGAGGCUCAACCUCGGGCCUGCAGCCGAUACGGGCAGACUAGAGUUCGGCAGGGGAGACUGGAAUUCCUGGUGUAGCGGUGAAAUGCGCAGAUAUCAGGAGGAACACCGAUGGCGAAGGCAGGUCUCUGGGCCACUACUGACGCUGAGAAGCGAAAGCAUGGGGAGCGAACAGG
rnacentral:rRNA from 1 species